CCUACGGGGGGCAGCAGUGGGGAAUAUUGGACAAUGGGGGCAACCCUGAUCCAGCCAUGCCGCGUGUGUGAAGAAGGCCCUCGGGUUGUAAAGCACUUUCAGUGAGGAAGAACGCCUGGUGGUUAAUACCCAUCAGGAAAGACAUCACUCACAGAAGAAGCACCGGCUAACUCCGUGCCAGCAACCGCGGUAAUACGGAGGGUGCGAGCGUUAAUCGGAAUUACUGGGCGUAAAGCGCGCGUAGGUGGCUUGAUAAGCCGGUUGUGAAAGCCCCGGGCUCAACCUGGGAACGGCAUCCGGAACUGUCAAGCUAGAGUGCAGGAGAGGAAGGUAGAAUUCCCGGUGUAGCGGUGAAAUGCGUAGAGAUCGGGAGGAAUACCAGUGGCGAAGGCGGCCUUCUGGACUGACACUGACACUGAGGUGCGAAAGCGUGGGUAGCAAACAGGAUUAGAUACCCUUGUAGUC
rnacentral:rRNA from 1 species